AGGGGUCCAGGAAGGAGACUAGGGAAUGGCUCUGCAGACAUAGGGAGGAUUGACAUGAGGGAGGAGGGGAGCAACUGGUGGCAAGCCAUUUUUGGGGAAGAAGUAGGCGUACAUAGGUGAAACCAUUUCAAAUUGAGAACAAGGAUAAUAAAACACAAUGCAGCAAACAAAGAUAAUAAAACACAAUACAACAUCUCCCCCUUUUUCUAAGCAAGGGCAGCACAAGGCAGAAGCCUUUUGUUUCUCUCUAAACUCCUUCCCUGGCGCAGGCCUCCAAGAAACUGCAUUUCACAAUCCUAAAAGAUUUCAGGGCAAAUUUCACAAAUACUUGUCCACAGGCACUAGCCGAGACUGGAGGGGUUGGGGCUGCCGUUUUGGGUGCCCUGGGAGCUGCUUCUACCCACCUUGCCCCUAAAUGUGGUAAUGGUUCAGGCCUGCAGCACGACACCAGCUGGGUCCAGUGGGCCAAAAAAGUAGCUGAGAAAUUGACACUGCAGGUUCAGAGCUGCCGCCACUGGGAGAGGCCCUGCCCGGUGGUGUGGAGCCAACAUCUCAGUAGCCCUGGACUGGGUUUGGCCUCCAGAAAUCAAACAGUUACAGUCCAAAUUUGCAAGCUGAAACAAUGGCAUAUAUUCAUGUGGCCCUCAGUCACCAGGUGCUGAGUUUUACCCCAGCUAAGGAACAUGAGAGCCUUGCUAACAUGUAGCACAAGCUGACAAUUGCAGCCUGACCUGUGCUGUCAGUGUAGGAGACAUAGCAGACCUGGAGCCAGAACAGGACAGAGACAAAAGGAAGAGCUGAAACCAGUGACAUGCACAGCAAAAACUUGAAUCCCUCUCAGGCUUUCUUUCAGAGGCACGGGUUCAAAUCCAGCCAUAUAGUUACAUCAUUUGCAAUAUGUCAAGAUUUGGUCCACAUUCUCUUCUGAAAUACUUUGUUUGGAUGUUUGGAUCCCUGUUUCAUAUUAGUCUCAUUAAUAGUCAGGAAAUGGAACCUGAAAGAACUCUUAAAUGAAGCAAGGUAAAGUAAGAAUGGGAUCAGAGAUCAUAAGUGAGAACAAAAUCAGAGCUGGAAAAGCUGUAUACAUCAAAAGCCCUCUAUCUUGUAAUUUAGGACAGGUUUCUCUAACCCAGUAGAAGUCAGAUCCUCUGAGGUAUUUUGAAAAUCCCACUUUAUCUGUCUCUACAAGGCUGCUCUCAGAGAUAGGUAUGAUGUACUGCUGAUUGCUUAUGAAGACCUAAGGACUCCACAAGGAACAAGCCUGAUAGAAAGCUUUUGUGAAAAUUACCCAGCUCAGAUUUCCUGGAAAAACAGUCACAAGAGUACACAGAAGUGUAAAGCACUACUGGUGUGAUGCAACUCUCAUCAAAAUUACACGGUGAUGGAUCACUCCAUAGAAAUACAGUGGCAAUAUUCUCGAGAGAGAUUCAGUGAUGCAUGUAUUACAAAUCAGUCCUACAAGGAUGACUGUGCAUGUCAAACUUCUGCAGUAUAAAGUUCAAAAAAUCACAAAAUUAUCUGUGAUAUUUAUUGUGGAUUGUGCAAAUAUUUAAUGGUUUUACUCACAGUUACUGUACAUUUGUUUCUUCAAAAGGAGUAGGCCAGGCUGCAGGGAGGAACACUGGGGGGUUAUUUUGUGUUGCUGUCUGCAGACUGGAUUUCUGUGCUGCACACUGGAUGGCACUGGGAGCUGCCUGCAAGAAGGGAGACAUUCUUUCCAGAUAGUAAUGGGGCUGCCUCGUGGGAGGGUCACUUCAGACUGUGGGGUGGGAUGGGCAGAGUGAAAAGGGAGGAGAAGAAGUCGUCAUCUCAGCAGGUUAAAUGUCAGAAAGGGCAGGAGUCACCUCAGCAAGGGAGAUUGCAGGGAACAGCAAAAAGUAGAGGGGUGGAUGGCUGCUCUGGGGUUAGGACAACCUAUGGGUUACUGUAGGACUUGAAGAGUUGAACUUCUGUUCUUCAUAGACUAUCACAAGUAUAGUUCAAGCAGAAAAAUUCAGCAGCCGUGCAUCUCCUCUUUCCAAACUGGUGUUAAACGGGACAUAGACUUGAACUCUUGGUGGUCAGUGUCACUGGCAGGGAAGGGAGCUUUUCCCCUCCCUUUGUGCUUCAUCUGGCUCUGGCUUCUGGUUUGAAAGGAGCCUGUACUCCUGUGUGUGGGAUUAGCAUGUUGCCUUCAGCCUUACAUUUAGACCUGGAAUGUUUUUUCCACCAUCUUCACAAAAUGAGCUCCAUUGUGGUUACAUUUUUACAGCUUCUACAUGCUUACAUUGUUGGUAUUUUUACACCAUGGAAAAUUAGUAAUUGACACUUGUCUUUUCCCGCCUUUAUUUUUACAAGUAGUUUUUGUCAAAAAAAGUUUCAAAAUGUAAGCAUAUUUUGACUAUCACAUGCAUAUCAUUUAUGUCAUAUUGCUGACCUCAAACUUAGGAAAUGUAUUUCUCCUUUUGACUCUUUUUAUUUUAUCUAUGAAGGGGAACAGAGAAAACAAACAAACAGAAAAGAUUUGUUGUAUCUUCGACACUUUCCCUGAGCUCUUUCUCUCACAGUUCCACCUCAAAAUUAUAUGUGGAAAGUGGCAGGAACCAAUCCAACACUACUGCCAAACAAUGCAGGGGUGUAAGUCUGGGCUCACUACAUAGGAUCCAGAACAUGUUUUUCUGUAGGCAAAGAACAAAGCAAAGCAAUUUGACAUAAGGAUAACUCAGUGGAGAAAAGAAACAGGAAAAGUAAAAAGGAAACAGCAUGGAGCAGAAUCAAAUCAUUGGGGCAGAGAGAUUAGAGCUAAAAGUAGAUUAAAACCAAGAACACAAAAGGAAAAUGUGAGCAUAUUUUUAGGGGGAAAAUUAUAAUAAUUUUACUGUAUAUAUUAAUUUGUAAUCAUGUUUUUUAGGAUGAUAAAAAUGCAAAUCAAAGUUGCAGCAAAUAAACAGGAAUGCUGACAUAAGGCAGGAAUAUUUGAAAAAGUCAAAGCCUCAGUGACAUCCAAGACUAUAUGAGGUGUUUUCCCAUAUUGCAUAUAUUUUUUGUCUGGAAUGACCAGCAUACAAGGCAAUCUCAGAGAAUUUCAGGUACCUGUGAUAUUUUUUUCCUUUUAGGCCAUUUGAGAGUCUUUCAUUUCUCUGUCUUCCCAGUCUAUGAAGCCUCUGGAAUAAACAUCUAAUGUCUAGAUGGAAAGACAGGUGUGCAAACACUUCACAAAUCAGUAUCAACCAUAUUUUCAAAACAGAUAUGAUCUAACUAUUCACAGAUAGAUGGACAUCACACCAUUUCUUUGUACAGGCAAUACAUCAAGAUUUCUCUCUGAAACUUCUAGUAAUGGUGGUAAAGUCUUUCAAUGUAUCUCAUUUUUAUGUUGGCAGCAAUCAGGUCCCACUUCAGGUAACGACAUAACAGCAUAGAGCUGGUUCUCAGUAAGUAUUUUGUUUGUCCACACUUGGACCUAUUGUAUACAGCUACAUAUGACUCAGCCUCAGUGUUCAGAAAGCUGGAAACUAUUUGUAAGUGACAGAUCAGCUCUCUGCUAGAGGAAGUUUGUCAGCAAAUGGUUCUUUGUUAUGAGGACAUUUUGCAGAGACAGUUUUGUUACACAAUAAUAAAUGCACCAUACUGAAAGGAUAUU